rnacentral:rRNA from 1 species
UACUGGGCGUAAAGCGCACGCAGGCGGUCUGUCAAGUUGGAUGUGAAAUUCCCCGGGCUCAACCUGGGAACUGCAUUCGAAACUGGCAGGCUUGAGUCUUGUAGAGGGGGGGUAGAAUUUCCAGGUGUAGCGGUGAAAUGCGUAGAGAUCUGGAGGAAUACCGGUGGCGAAGGCGGCCCCCUGGACAAAGACUGACGCUCAGGUGCGAAAGCGUGGGGAGCAAACAGGAUUAGAUACCCUGGUAGUCCACGCCGUAAACGAUGUCUACUUGGAGGUUGUGCCCUUGAGGCGUGGCUUCCGGAGCUAACGCGUUAAGUAGACCGCCUGGGGAGUACGGCCGCAAGGUUAAAACUCAAAUGAAUUGACGGGGGCCCGCACAAGCGGUGGAGCAUGUGGUUUAAUUCGAUGCAACGCGAAGAACCUUACCUGGUCUUGACAUCCACAGAACUUUCCAGAGAUGGAUUGGUGCCUUCGGGAACUGUGAGACAGGUGCUGCAUGGCUGUCGUCAGCUCGUGUUGUGAAAUGUUGGGUUAAGUCCCGCAACGAGCGCAACCCUUAUCCUUUGUUGCCAGCGGUCCGGCCGGGAACUCAAAGGAGACUGCCAGUGAUAAACUGGAGGAAGGUGGGGAUGACGUCAAGUCAUCAUGGCCCUUACGACCAGGGCUACACACGUGCUACAAUGGCGCAUACAAAGAGAAGCGACCUCGCGAGAGCAAGCGGACCUCAUAAAGUGCGUCGUAGUCCGGAUUGGAGUCUGCAACUCGACUCCAUGAAGUUGGAAUCGCUAGUAAUCGUGGAUCAGAAUGCCACGGUGAAUACGUUCCCGGGCCUUGUACACACCGCCCGUCACACCAUGGGAGUGGGUUGCAAAAGAAGUAGGUAGCU